CAGACAAGAUGACGCAGCAUACGAGAAUGAUGCUCGACGAUCUUUCCGAAAGCUUUGUUCGAAAGUUCUUAGUACAUCGUGAUUUCAAGGAUAUUUUUGUUGACGAUUUCUUACGUUUUACGAGAUUCAAGGAUAAAGCUAAAUAGACACCGUAUACGCAUAUGUUUAUAUACGUAUCUAAUUCGUAGAAAUUUAAUCGUGCCUCUUCGUGCCCUUCCGUACAAUUUCGUAAAUUCUGCUCACACAGAUGAUCGCCUUCAGGACGAGAUGAUGCAGCAUACAAGGAUGAUACUCGACGAUCUUCUGUCCAAAUUUCUUAAUACAUCGCGAUUCCAAGGAUAUUCUUGCUGAGGAUUUCUUACGUUUCAAGUCAACAAGGUCAAAGAGAUUAACUUCACUCUGCCUUUCAACAACGAUCACGUGGGACUUGAAUAUAUUUCUUGGAGUAGGAGAACCCCGUUAACGAGCGUAAUCCGUUCUUUGACGUGAGCAACGAACGGGUACGAUGACGCAGUUACGAUCGAUUUUGCGAUUCGAAAGCUUUCAAACUGGUCCUGAAAAAAAAUACUGAUUUAUGUCAGCCGAAUAGAGUCAAGAAAAACUAUCCAUCGAUGGAUGAAGAGUUAUUAAUUAUUGAUUGUAUUUACAAAAUGGAUACAAGCCAAUUAAAAAAUCAUGUCAUCUUCAAGAUGGAUAUAUCUGCAAGAGAGAAACAAUUUAGAAAAAACGACCAGUAUUGUUCCUUGAUACUUUAAGAUUGACUAAUCUUUGACGGAGAUCGAAGAAAUCUUUUUAAAAAGAAAAUAAAAAAAUAGAGAAGAAACUAAAGGGCAUGUUUACCAAGGAGAUAUUAAAGAGAAACAUCGUAGAAACAACUAAGGAAGAGUAUAAUGGCACUGAAUAAAAUUGACAGAAAUGACGAUGAUAUCUCGACGAGAUUAAGAGAGAAAUAUAUAUAUAUAUAUAUAUAUAUACACUCAC